AUCCAAGAAAUUCAGGAGGUGGUU
rnacentral:siRNA from 1 species